CUUUUAGUUCUUUAUGGUUUUGGAUAGCUUUCUAGUUGCGUUGUUUAGUUUGCGUUUGUCAUCCGGUGUUCUAUGGGUCUGCCAAACUCUUCUUAGUCUACGUUUCUCUGCUAUUUUUUUCAGCAUGUAUUGGGGAUAUUCUUGUUUGCUGAUAGACGUCUUUGUCGAUGUCGAGAGGCGGAUUGCGUUUAUUAUGCUCGUGUUUAAGUAUUCCGUGGCUGCUUCGAUUUCUUCCUUUGUUUUUAGUGGGGUUAAGGCUGAGGCUGAGUGUGUAAAGACUUCUCUAAAGAGCUGCCAGUUGGUGUGUUGGUUGUGAAUGGAGAAAUUAGGUGUAUUCUCGAUGAUUGUUGAACUGACUGUUGCUAUCACGGGAGAAUGAUCAGAGGAGAGAUCAGCCUAGGAGUUGAUCUGGUCGUGUCUUGGUGAGAUAUUUUUAGUUACGAAGAAGUCGAGAAGGUCGCGUAUUUUG